AAAAAUAUAGAUUUCAAAUUUAAUCCUUAUUUACUAAUAAGUGUUGUAAAAGAUUAAACAAACACCAAACAUCUCACGAGAGUGCUGAAACAUGAACUUAGUUAACACCUAAAACAUAAACUCAAUAGUCAACAUCUAGUGCUGCCAAAUAGUCAUGCUUUUUUUUAAAAUUAAUAUACCAAUAUAUUUAAAAGUAAAAAAGUAUUGAAAUCAUAUUGGUGCAAACAUAAUGUGGUACCAAAACUAUAUCAUUUUAGUUAGAGUCUAAAACUUCAACAAAACUCAAUUUUAAACCUUGGAUUUUGCAAGUCAAAAUAAAAAGACGAUAUCUUUGGAAUCCAUUCAUAUCCUUACUUCUUGAUGAUGACCAUUGAAAAGGCCCUUAAGAUGAAUCUAGAAAAAACUCCUUGGUGAGCUAAAAUGACAAAUUGAGGACACCAUUCCAUUUGUCAUGCUCUCACGAAUUUUUCAUGCCUUUAUUAAUAUUGACCACAAUGAUGCCAAGGAAGACCCUUGAUUUUCUAAAAGCACUUUGAUGGGUCAAAAUGACAAAAUGACACUAUCAUUGAAUUCAUUAUGCUCUCAGAAAUUGAAUUAUGCUCUUGCUUAUUGAUUUUCAUCUCUGUAUUAUUUAACAUUUUUAGAAAUUUAAAAGGAGUUGAGACAACUAGAAGACUAUUUUGGGAAUGUCUAAAAGGAAAAGUGGGCUCUUUGAUAAAUUUGAAACCAUGGCGCAGUUUGGAUAAAAAGCUAGGUGGAGUCUGCUAGAGAAUUUCACUAAGGCUCAAUGUGAUCUCUAGAUUAACAAACAUGGGAGAAUGGUAACAGGAAUUUCUUCAACAUCUCCAAGUUGUGGAUAGUUUGUUACACAAAAAUGUUGGUGGGAUAUAAUGUCAAUGAUUUUAAGCCAAUUUAUGUAAUAUUUAUUCUACAUUUGUUACUGAAAUCAAUUUCUUAUUUUUCUUUAGUUUCUUUACAUCUGUCCUAUGUCUCAUUGA